GACGAACGCUGGCGGCGUGCUUAACACAUGCAAGUCGAACGGAAGAGCCCUGCUUUUGUGUGGUGCUCGAGUGGCGCACGGGUGAGUAACACGUGAAUAACCUUCCCUUGACUUUGGGAUAACUUCAGAAAACUGGGGCUACUGCCGGCUAGGUGCUGCUGCUGCUUGGUGGGGGUUGGAAAUUUUCGGCGGUUUGGGAUGGACUCGCGGCCUAUCAGCUUGUUGGGGGGGGAGUGGCUUACCAAGGCUUUGACGGGUAGCCGGCCUGAGAGGGUGACCGGCCACAUUGGGACUGAGAUACGGCCCAGACUCCUACGGGAGGCAGCAGGGGGGAAUAUUGCACAAUGGGCGCAAGCCUGAGGAAGCAACGCUGCGUGCGUGAUGACGGCCUUCGGGUUGUAAACCGCUGUCGCCUGUGACGAAGCGGGAGUGACGUUAAUGGGUAAAGAAGCACCGGCUAACUACGUG
rnacentral:rRNA from 1 species